rnacentral:misc_RNA from 1 species
GAUGAAGAACGUAGCGAAAUGCGAUACGUAAUGUGAAUUGCAGAAUUCAGCGAAUCAUCGAGUCUUUGAACGCACAUUGCGCCCCCUGGUAUUCCGGGGGGCAUGCCUGUCCGAGCGUCAUUGCUGCCCUCAAGCACGGCUUGUGUGUUGGGCCCCGCCCCCCGGCUCCCGGGGGGCGGGCCCGAAAGGCAGCGGCGGCACCGCGUCCGGUCCUCGAGCGUAUGGGGCUUCGUCACCCGCUCCGUAGGCUCGGCCGGCGCCCGCCGGCGACCCCCCUCAAUCUUUUCAGGUUGACCUCGGAUCAGGUAGGGAUACCCGCUGAACUUAAGCAUAUCAAUAAGCGGAGGA